UCUGUCUUAUGCAUUGUCCUGAGUAGGAGUACACGGACUUGCUGAUGGAAAUGGAAACGGAGGCCCUAUUUUAGGCUGAAGGAAGUUUGGCUGACCUGGAGUCAUUUUCUAAAGAGAGAUUCCACUACAUCAUGAGCGAUAAAGUCCCUCCUCCACAAGAAGGCAGUUGAACGUUGGCUGAAGGACUGAAGUCACAUUUGGUGUCAGCAAGAUGAUUUCAGCAGUUGAAAAGAG